rnacentral:rRNA from 1 species
UUGCCAGAGAUGGCUUGGUGCUCGAAAGAGAGCCGUAACACAGGUGCUGCAUGGCUGUCGUCAGCUCGGUGUCGUGAGAUGUUGGGUUAAGUCCCGCAACGAGCGCAACCCUUGUCAUUAGUUGCUACGAAAGGGCACUCUAAUGAGACUGCCGGUGACAAACCGGAGGAAGUGGGGAUGACGUCAAGUCCUCAUGGCCCUUAUGGGUAGGGCUACACACGUCAUACAAUGGCCGGUACAAAGGGCAGCCAACCCGCGAGGGGGGAGCCAAUCCCGUAAAGCCGGUCGUAGUCCGGAUCGCAGUCUGCAACUCGACUGCGUGAAGUCGGAAUCGCUAGUAAUCGUGGAUCAGCAUGUCACGGUGAAUACGUUCCCGGGUCUU